rnacentral:rRNA from 1 species
GGAAUUUUCCGCAAUGGGCGAAAGCCUGACGGAGCAACGCCGCGUGAGGGACGAAGGCCUCUGGGCUGUAAACCUCUUUUCUCAAGGAAGAAGAUAUGACGGUACUUGAGGAAUAAGCCACGGCUAAUUCCGUGCCAGCAGCCGCGGUAAUACGGGAGUGGCAAGCGUUAUCCGGAAUUAUUGGGCGUAAAGCGUCCGCAGGCGGCUUUUCAAGUCUGCUGUUAAAGCGUGGAGCUUAACUCCAUCAUGGCAGUGGAAACUGAAAGGCUUGAGUAUGGUAGGGGCAGAGGGAAUUCCCGGUGUAGCGGUGAAAUGCGUAGAUAUCGGGAAGAACACCAGUGGCGAAGGCGCUCUGCUGGGCCAUUACUGACGCUCAUGGACGAAAGCCAGGGGAGCGAAAGGGAUUAGAUACCCCUGUAGUCCUGGCCGUAAACGAUGAACACUAGGUGUCGGGGGAAUCGACCCCUUCGGUGUCGUAGCUAACGCGUUAAGUGUUCCGCCUGGGGAGUACGCACGCAAGUGUGAAACUCAAAGGAAUUGACGGGGGCCCGCACAAGCGGUGGAGUAUGUGGUUUAAUUCGAUGCAACGCGAAGAACCUUACCAGGGUUUGACAUCCUGCGAACCUCUUAGAAAUUUGAGGGUGCCUUCGGGAAUGCAGUGACAGGUGGUGCAUGGCUGUCGUCAGCUCGUGUCGUGAGAUGUUGGGUUAAGUCCCGCAACGAGCGCAACCCACGUUUUUAGUUGCCAGCAUUUAGUUGGGCACUCUAGAAAGACCGCCGGUGAUAAACCGGAGGAAGGUGUGGAUGACGUCAAGUCAUCAUGCCCCUUACACCCUGGGCUACACACGUACUACAAUGCUACGGACAAAGGGCAGCAAACUCGCGAGAGCUAGCAAAUCCCAUAAACCGUGGCUCAGUUCAGAUCGUAGGCUGCAACUCGCCUACGUGAAGUAGGAAUCGCUAGUAAUCGCAGGUCAGCAUACUGCGGUGAAUACGUUCCCGGGCCUUGUACACACCGCCCGUCACACCAUGGAAGUUGGCCAUGCCCGAAGUCGUUACUCCAACCCUUGUGGAGGAGG